CCUACGGGUGGCUGCAGUCGAGAAUCUUUCGCAAUGGGCGCAAGCCUGACGAAGCGACGCCGUGUGAGCGAAGAAGGCCUUCGGGUCGUAAAGCUCUUUCGCUUGGGAACAAGAGAGGGGUAUGAAUACUAUCCCAAUUUGAGGGUACUAGGUAAAGAAGCACCGGCUAACUCCGUGCCAGCAGCUGCGGUAAUACGGAGGGUGCAAGCAUUGAUCGGAAUUAUUGGGCGUAAAGGGCGCGUAGGCGGCUGUGUAAGUCAAAUGUGAAAUUCCGC
rnacentral:rRNA from 1 species